rnacentral:rRNA from 1 species
UACGUAGGGGGCAAGCGUUGUCCGGAAUCAUUGGGCGUAAAGAGCGCGUAGGCGGCCCUGUAAGUCCGCUGUGAAAGUCAAGGGCUCAACCCUUGAAUGCCGGUGGAUACUGCAGGGCUAGAGUCCGGAAGAGGCGAGUGGAAUUCCUGGUGUAGCGGUGAAAUGCGCAGAUAUCAGGAGGAACACCGAUGGCGAAGGCAGCUCGCUGGGACGGUACUGACGCUGAUGCGCGAAAGCCAGGGGAGCAAACGGG